UGGGGAAUAUUGGGCAAUGGAGGAAACUCUGACCCAGCAACGCCGCGUGAAGGAAGAAGGUCUUCGGAUUGUAAACUUCUGUUAUAGGGAAAGAACAAGAUGACGGUACCCUAUGAGGAAGCUACGGCAAACUAUGUGCCAGCAGCCGCGGUAAUACAUAGGUAGCGAGCGUUAUCCGGAAUAACUGGGCGUAAAGGGAGCGUAGGUGGCGAGAUAAGUUGAAUGUGAAAGCCUGUGGCUUAACCAUAGAACUGCAUUCAAUACUGUUUGGCUAGAGUACGAGAGAGGUAAGCGGAAUUCCUAGUGUAGCGGUUAAAUGCGUAGAUAUUAGGAGGAACACCAGAGGCGAAGGCGGCUUACUGGCUCGAAACUGACACUGAGGCUCGAAAGCGUGGGGAGCAAACAGG
rnacentral:rRNA from 2 species